rnacentral:rRNA from 1 species
UACGUAGGGGGGCAAGCGUUGUCCGGAUUUAUUGGGCGUAAAGAGCGUGUAGGCGGCCAGACAGGUCAGCUGUGAAAACUCGAGGCUCAACCUCGAGACGUCGGUUGAAACCGUCUGGCUAGAGUCCGGAAGAGGCGAGUGGAACUCCUGGUGUAGCGGUGGAAUGCGCAGAUAUCAGGAAGAACACCAACGGCGAAGGCAGCUCGCUGGGACGGAACUGACGCUGAGGCGCGAAAGCGUGGGGAGCGAACAGG